rnacentral:rRNA from 1 species
UACGGAGGGUGCAAGCGUUAUCCGGAUUCACUGGGUUUAAAGGGUGCGUAGGUGGGUUGGUAAGUCAGUGGUGAAAUCUCCGAGCUUAACUUGGAAACUGCCAUUGAUACUAUCAAUCUUGAAUAUUGUGGAGGUCAGCGGAAUAUGUCAUGUAGCGGUGAAAUGCUUAGAUAUGACAUAGAACACCAAUUGCGAAGGCAGCUGGCUGCACAAAUAUUGACACUGAGGCACGAAAGCGUGGGGAUCAAACAGG